UCUAAUAUGGCAGAUAAGUGCGGUGGAUUUAAGCUCCACAUAUGAAGUUCAAGAAACUUUUAUUAGAA
rnacentral:tRNA from 1 species